rnacentral:rRNA from 1 species
UACAGAGGGGUGCAAGCGUUUAAUCGGAAUUACUGGGGCGUAAAGCGUGCGUAGACGGUUAUGUAAGUCAGGUGUGAAAGCCCCGGGCUCAACCUGGGAAUUGCAUUUGAGACUGCAUAGCUAGGGUGCGGAAGAGGGAAGCGGAAUUUCCGGUGUAGCGGUGAAAUGCGUAGAUAUCGGAAGGAACAUCAGUGGCGAAAGCGGCUUCCUGGUCCAGCACCGACGUCAGGCACGAAAGCGUGGGGAGCAAACAGG